rnacentral:rRNA from 1 species
CACGUAGGCACCAAGCGUUGUCCGGAUUUAUUGGGCGUAAAGAGCUCGUAGGCGGUUCGGUAAGUCGGGUGUGAAAACUUUGGGCUCAACCCAAAGCGUGCACUCGAUACUGCCAUGACUAGAGUUCGGUAGGGGAGUGGGGAAUUCCUAGUGUAGCGGUGAAAUGCGCAGAUAUUAGGAGGAACACCGGUGGCGAAGGCGCCACUCUGGGCCGAAACUGACGCUGAGGAGCGAAAGCGUGGGGAGCGAACAGG